UGUCUGGAUAGCUCAGUUGGUUAGAGUAAAAGACUGAAAAUCUUUGUGUCGGUGGUUCAAAUCCACCUCCAGACAA
rnacentral:tRNA from 1 species